rnacentral:lncRNA from 1 species
UGUUCAUACAGGACUCUGCCUGCUCACAGAUUUGUCAUGUGCAGCUCUAUCCUGUUCAUUCCAUGAUUACAUGUGCAUAAUGCCUUCCUCUACUGUGCAUGCCUCAACAGGCAGGCCAGAGUCUCAGGGCUCUUUCUGGAGUAGUCCCAGGAUCUGGUAGGCUUAAGAACAGCUCCAUUUGUUUUUUGAUCUUUGUGAUGGACCACUGAAGAUGGACAAGGAGAUAGAAGUGCCUGGGAUUUCUGCAGCAUCCAUGGAGCACAAUAAAGAGAAGGUGAUGUAUGCCAGUACUGUCUUUACAAUACAGCUCUGGAUGGCAUGCCUUGGUGCAGGAAUGGAUGCUGUGUCUCUUGGUAACAACCUCUUGGAGAGAAUACAUCAAAUGUUCCCAAAACGCUAUGGAGGUUGGGGGCAGAAGCACACGGAUGAAGAAUAGAAUUAGGGCCCUCCAUUUUGUGACUGCAUUGGCCUCUCAGAAAGGAAAUGGCUGUGCCACACUGCCAGGCUGACAGAAGCACGUCAGAUGACCUAAGAAGGACAUGUGGAUCUCCGAGAAGUUGCUCUCAGUCUCAAAGGUAGGAUAAGUUACAGUGCAAAUUCCAUAGUAAUAU